UGCGUAGGCGGGGCAAUUAGUCAGUGGUGAAAUCCUGCGGCUUAACCGUAGAACUGCCAUUGAUACUGUUGCCCUUGAGUAUAGUUGAAGUGGGCGGAAUAUGUAAUGUAGCGGUGAAAUGCAUAGAGAUUACAUAGAACACCAAUUGCGAAGGCAGCUCACUAAGCUAUCACUGACGUUGAGGCACGAAAGCGUGGGGAGCAAACAGGAUUAGAUACCCUGGUAGUCC
rnacentral:rRNA from 1 species